AUUGAACGCUGGCGGCAGGCUUAACACAUGCAAGUCGAGCGGAGCGAGGGUGCUUGCACCUUAGCUUAGCGGCGGACGGGUGAGUAAUGCUUAGGAAUCUGCCUAUUAGUGGGGGACAACAUUCCGAAAGGAAUGCUAAUACCGCAUACGCUCUACGGGAGAAGGCAGGGGAUCUUCGGACCUUGCGCUAAUAGAUGAGCAUAAGUCGGAUUAGCUAGUUGGUGGGGUAAAGGCCUACCAAGGCGACGAUCUGUAGCGGGUCUGAGAGGAUGAUCCGCCACACUGGGACUGAGACACGGCCCAGACUCCUACGGGGGGCAGCAGUGGGGAAUAUUGGACAAUGGGGGGAACCCUGAUCCAGCCAUGCCGCGUGUGUGAAGAAGGCCUUAUGGUUGUAAAGCACUUUAAGCGAGGAGGAGGCUACUGAGACUAAUACUCUUGGAUAGUGGACGUUACUCGCAGAAUAAGCACCGGCUAACUCUGUGCCAGCAGCCGCCGUAACAC
rnacentral:rRNA from 1 species